AACGCUGAAGGAGGAGCUUGCUUCUCCGGAUGAGUUGCGAACGGGUGAGUAACGCGUAGGUAACCUGCCUGGUAGCGGGGGAUAACUAUUGGAAACGAUAGCUAAUACCGCAUAAGAGUAGAUGUUGCAUGACAUUUGCUUAAAAGGUGCAAUUGCAUCACUACCAGAUGGACCUGCGUUGUAUUAGCUAGUUGGUGGGGUAACGGCUCACCAAGGCGACGAUACAUAGCCGACCUGAGAGGGUGAUCGGCCACACUGGGACUGAGACACGGCCCAGACUCCUACGGGAGGCAGCAGUAGGGAAUCUUCGGCAAUGGACGGAAGUCUGACCGAGCAACGCCGCGUGAGUGAAGAAGGUUUUCGGAUCGUAAAGCUCUGUUGUAAGAGAAGAACGAGUGUGAGAGUGGAAAGUUCACACUGUGACGGUAUCUUACCAGAAAGGGACGGCUAACUACGUGCCAGCAGCCGCGGUAAUACGUAGGUCCCGAGCGUUGUCCGGAUUUAUUGGGCGUAAAGCGAGCGCAGGCGGUUAGAUAAGUCUGAAGUUAAAGGCUGUGGCUUAACCAUAGUACGCUUUGGAAACUGUUUAACUUGAGUGCAAGAGGGGAGAGUGGAAUUCCAUGUGUAGCGGUGAAAUGCGUAGAUAUAUGGAGGAACACCGGUGGCGAAAGCGGCUCUCUGGCUUGUA
rnacentral:rRNA from 1 species